rnacentral:rRNA from 1 species
GAUGAACGCUGGCGGCGUGCCUAAUACAUGCAAGUCGAGCGAACAGACGAGGAGCUUGCUCCUCUGACGUUAGCGGCGGACGGGUGAGUAACACGUGGAUAACCUACCUAUAAGACUGGGAUAACUUCGGGAAACCGGAGCUAAUACCGGAUAAUAUAUUGAACCGCAUGGUUCAAUAGUGAAAGACGGUUUUGCUGUCUCUUAUAGAUGGAUCCGCGUCGCAUUAGCUAGUUGGUAAGGUAACGGCUUACCAAGGCAACGAUGCGUAGCCGACCUGAGAGGGUGAUCGGCCACACUGGAACUGAGACACGGUCCAGACUCCUACGGGAGGCAGCAGUAGGGAAUCUUCGGCAAUGGGCGAAAGCUUGACGGAGCAACGCCGCGUGAGUGAUGAAGGUCUUCGGAUCGUAAAACUCUGUUAUUAGGGAAGAACAAAUGUGUAAUUAACUAUGCACGUCUUGACGGUACCUAAUCAGAAAGCCACGGCUAACUACGUG